GUGUUCAGGGGGAGAGGGGGAGGGAGGAGUUCAGGGGAGAGAGGUGUUCAGGGGGGAGAGGGAGGAGGUGUUCAGGGGGAGAGGGGGAGGAGAGAGCAGCACAGGGGAACGUGUGAAAUCAGUCCGUUGUUUGAUCCACUCGGAAAUGAAAAGCAAUGGAAGACACAGGACACAAGACAGGCCCCGGAGGGACGGACACAUCACGGCGAGGCAGAUUGGUGUCGUGCCAAACAUUCACAGUAGCGUCGAGGUGGUUUGUGUUGUUUGUGACAUUCGCAUGCAGAAAUAAAAACGCCUUCGCAGGCGGAGUGCACAUGGGUAUGGAUGGAGCUGCUUUUUCCAUGCCACGCCAAAACAGACACAACAAACAACUAUUGUUCAAGACACAUGGUUACGCAAGGUCUAUCCAACUGUCACAUUAGCUGUGUAAAAGGUGAUAUUUCAGAUAUUGGUAACAUCAAUUAUGUAUUUUUUUAAGAUUAUAUCAUCAUCCUCUUUCAUAUGAAACAUGAACAAAUAUUAAUUUGCUCUCCCUCUCUUAAUCUUAUCACCACUUCCCAUCUUGCAUCCUACUAGUUCUGUAGGAAUGUGUUGCAGUAUUGUAGACCACCAGAUGGGGGCACUACUGCACAACUAAUUGACUACCGAAACACUUUCUAUCUAUGCUGUGUCUGAACUGGAGAGGCCGGUUUUAAUGAGAUGGAGAGCGAGCGAAGCAGCCAGUUGGAUAUGACAUCGGGCAUUGGACCAUUUGGAAGUGCACACAAUAAUCACGGCUGCAUGCAAUCUGUAUAAGACAAUAAAAAAAUAAGGCACGUCACGAUAAACCGAUCAAAUAAAGACUCAAAGCACAGGACAAUCUCCAGCAAGCGGGUACUGAGUCACACAUCAUUCUACCGACUCCCAACGACUCUGAGGAUGCACUGACCAAUGCAGAAACCAAUGAGACACUGAGAACAACGAUGGGCAAUGGAGUCUCACAACGAAUAACUCUUGUCUUAUCAACCACGGUGUAACACGCAUACAUGACCACACACUGAUGAACUCCAGAGAGAUGCCUACAACAGUCC
ensembl:lncRNA